rnacentral:rRNA from 1 species
CCUACGGGUGGCAGCAGUGAGGAAUAUUGGUCAAUGGGCGUAAGCCUGAACCAGCCAAGUCGCGUGAGGGAUGAAGGUUCUAUGGAUCGUAAACCUCUUUUAUAAGGGAAUAAAGUGCGGGACGUGUCCCGUUUUGUAUGUACCUUAUGAAUAAGGAUCGGCUAACUCCGUGCCAGCAGCCGCGGUAAUACGGAGGAUCCGAGCGUUGUCCGGAUUGAUUGGGUUUAAAGGGUGCGUUGGCGGCCUUUUACGUCAGCGUUGAAAGUCUGUGGUUCAACCAUAGAAUUGCCGUUGAACCUGGGAGGCUUGAGAAUGUUUGAGGCAGGCGGAAUGCGGGGUGUAGCGGGGAAAUGCUUAGAUAUCACGCAGAACCCCGAUUGCGAAGGCAGCCUGCCAAGCCAUGACUGACGCGGAUGCACGAAAGCGUGGGGAUCAAACAGGAUUAGAGACCCGAGUAGUC